rnacentral:rRNA from 1 species
GACGAACGCUGGCGGCGUGCUUAACACAUGCAAGUCGAACGGAAAGGCCCUGCUUUUGUGGGGUGCUCGAGUGGCGAACGGGUGAGUAACACGUGAGUAACCUGCCCUUGACUUUGGGAUAACUUCAGGAAACUGGGGCUAAUACCGGAUAGGAGCUCCUGCUGCAUGGUGGGGGUUGGAAAGUUUCGGCGGUUGGGGUUGGACUCGCGGCUUAUCAGCUUGUUGGUGGGGUAGUGGCUUACCAAGGCUUUGACGGGUAGCCGGCCUGAGAGGGUGACCGGCCACAUUGGGACUGAGAUACGGCCCAGACUCCUACGGGAGGCAGCAGUGGGGAAUAUUGCACAAUGGGCGGAAGCCUGAUGCAGCAACGCCGCGUGCGGGAUGACGGCCUUCGGGGUGUAAACCGCUUUCGCCUGUGACGAAGCGUGAGUGACGGUAAUGGGUAAAGAAGCACCGGCUAACUACGUG